AAAGCGCGCGUAGGUGGUUUGUUAAGUUGGAUGUGAAAUCCCCGGGCUCAACCUGGGAACUGCAUUCAAAACUGACUGACUAGAGUAUGGUAGAGGGUGGUGGAAUUUCCUGUGUAGCGGUGAAAUGCGUAGAUAUAGGAAGGAACACCAGUGGCGAAGGCGACCACCUGGACUGAUACUGACACUGAGGUGCGAAAGCGUGGGGAGCAAACAGGAUUAGAUACCCCUGU
rnacentral:rRNA from 1 species